CUCCUACGGGAGGCAGCAGUGGGGAAUAUUGCACAAUGGGCGAAAGCCUGAUGCAGCGACGCCGCGUGAAGGAUGAAGUAUUUCGGUAUGUAAACUUCUAUCAGCAGGGAAGAAAAUGACGGUACCUGACUAAGAAGCCCCGGCUAACUACGUGCCAGCAGCCGCGGUAAUACGUAGGGGGCAAGCGUUAUCCGGAUUUACUGGGUGUAAAGGGAGCGUAGAUGGCAUGGCAAGUCUGAAGUGAAAGCCCGGGGCUUAACCCCGGGACUGCUUUGGAAACUGUUAAGCUAGAGUGCAGGAGAGGUAAGCGGAAUUCCUAGUGUAGCGGUGAAAUGCGUAGAUAUUAGGAGGAACACCAGUGGCGAAGGCGGCCUACUGGGCACCAACUGACGCUGAGGCUCGAAAGUGUGGGUAGCAAACAGGAUUAGAUACCCUGGUAGUCCACACCGUAAACGAUGAUUACUAGGUGUUGGGUUUCAUAAGAAGCUCGGUGCCGGCGCAAACGC
rnacentral:rRNA from 1 species